GAUGAACGCUGGCGGCAUGCCUAAUACAUGCAAGUCGAACGAGAGGAAGGAAAGCUUGCUUUCCUGAAUCUAGUGGCGAACGGGUGAGUAACACGUAGGUAACCUGCCCAUGUGCCCGGGAUAACUUCUGGAAACGGAUGCUAAAACCGGAUAGGUAGCAGACAAGCAUUUGACUGCUAUUAAAGUGGCCUUGGCAAUGAACAUGGACGGACCUGCGGUGCAUUAGCUAGUUGGGGAGGUAACGGCCCACCAAGGCGACGAUGCAUAGCCGGCCUGAGAGGGCGGACGGCCACAUUGGGACUGAGACACGGCCCAAACUCCUACGGGAGGCAGCAGUAGGGGAUUUUCGUCAAUGGGGGGAACCCUGAACGAGCAAUGCCGCGUGAGUGAGGAAGGUCUUCGGAUCGUAAAGCUCUGUUGUAAGAGAAAAACGGCACUCAUAGGGAAUGAUGAGUGAGUGAUGGUAUCUUACCAGAAAGUCACGGCUAACUACGUGCCAGCCGCCGCCGUAACAC
rnacentral:rRNA from 1 species